GAUGAACGCUGGCGGCGUGCCUAAUACGUGCAAGUCGAGCGAACAGAUGAGGAGCUUGCUCCUCUGACGUUAGCGGCGGACGGGUGAGUAACACGUGGAUAACCUACCUAUAAGACUGGGAUAACUUCGGGAAACCGGAGCUAAUACCGGAUAAUAUAUUGAACCGCAUGGUUCAAUAGUGAAAGACGGUUUUGCUGUCACUUAUAGAUGGAUCCGCGCCGCAUUAGCUAGUUGGUAAGGUAACGGCUUACCAAGGCAACGAUGCGUAGCCGACCUGAGAGGGUGAUCGGCCACACUUGAACUGAGACACGGUCCAGACUCCUACGGGAGGCAGCAGUAGGGAAUCUUCCGCAAUGGGCGAAAGCCUGACGGAGCAACGCCGCGUGAGUGAUGAAGGUCUUCGGAUCGUAAAACUCUGUUAUUAGGGAAGAACAAAUGUGUAAGUAACUAUGCACGUCUUGACGGUACCUAAUCAGAAAGCCACGGCUAACUACGUG
rnacentral:rRNA from 1 species